CCUGAGAAACCCAAAAGAUCGAAUGGGGAGAUUCAUCGUCAGCGAUCUCGGCGCGUGGGCGUUUCACGAUGUCGAGAGGUCUCGGCCUCACGGCACGCGUCCGCGUUGCCUCGCCGGGUGUCGUCGGCGUGCACUUCUCCCCUAGUAGGACGUCGCGACCCGUUGGGUGUCGGUCUACGGCCUGGGUGGGCGCCUGUCGCGCGUAACGCUUCGCGUCGCGCGGCAGACCCCCGGUCGCCCGACCAGCUGCCCGGCGGUACUCGUACGGUAUCGAGCAGCAAAUAUUCGAACUGCGUCCGGCCCGCCGCAAGCUUAGCCAGUGUUUACCCGGAUGUACGGACCUAGCGCCGUCACCGGGCCUGACCGGCUGUUGGCCGGCGGUGUCCUGGGACCGGCUCUAACGACGCUUCUGCUUUGGGUACUUUCAGGACCCGUCUUGAAACACGGACCAAGGAGUCUAACAUGUGCGCGAGUCAUUGGGAUCUCGAAGCCUAAAGGCGCAAUGAAAGUGAAGGUCGGCAUCGCGCCGACAGAGGGAGGAUGGUCCGCGUUACGAUGCGGUCCCGCACUCCCGGGGCGUCUC
rnacentral:rRNA from 1 species